UGGGGAAUCUUGCGCAAUGGACGAAAGUCUGACGCAGCCACGCCGCGUGAGUGAAGAAGGCCUUCGGGUUGUAAAGCUCUGUCGAAUGGGAAGAAAGCCUUGAAGUGAAUAGCUUCAAGUUUGACGGUACCAUUAGAGGAAGCACCGGCUAACUCUGUGCCAGCAGCCGCGGUAAUACAGAGGGUGCAAGCGUUGCUCGGAAUUAUUGGGCGUAAAGGGCAGGUAGGUGGUCUCAUUUGUCAUGGGUGAAAGCCCUGGGCUUAACCCAGGAAGUGCCUAUGAAACGGUGAGACUGGAGUAUUGGAUAGGGUCGCGGAAUUCCCGGUGUAGCGGUGAAAUGCGUAGAGAUCGGGAGGAACACCAGAGGCGAAAGCGGCGGCCUGGACGAUGACUGACACUCAACUGCGAAAGCGUGGGGAUCAAACAGG
rnacentral:rRNA from 1 species